UGGGGAAUCUUCCGCAAUGGACGAAAGUUUGACGGAGCAACGCCGCGUGAGUGAUGACGGCCUUCGGGUUGUAAAGCUCUGUUAAUCGGGACGAAUGGUCCUUGUGCAAAUAGUGCGAGGAUUUGACGGUACCGGAAUAGAAAGCCACGGCUAACUACGUGCCAGCAGCCGCGGUAAUACGUAGGUGGCAAGCGUUGUCCGGAAUUAUUGGGCGUAAAGCGCGCGCAGGCGGAUUGGUCAGUCUGUCUUAAAAGUUCGGGGCUUAACCCCGUGAUGGGAUGGAAACUGCCAAUCUAGAGUAUCGGAGAGGAAAGUGGAAUUCCUAGUGUAGCGGUGAAAUGCGUAGAUAUUAGGAAGAACACCAGUGGCGAAGGCGACUUUCUGGACGAAAACUGACGCUGAGGCGCGAAAGCCAGGGGAGCGAACGGG
rnacentral:rRNA from 1 species